UCCCCCUGCUGUGAGGCCCCGCCUCCUCAGUCACCAACUCAGAGUGCACUCAGCACAGGAGUGCAAACAUGAAGCGUGCAUUGGUGUGUGUGCUGAUGGCUGCCUGGAGCCUUGGAUUUGGCAGCCAGACGGUGCACCAGCCAGCAGAGAAUGUGUACGCCAUGAAAGGCGACUCAGUUACACUGGACUGCAGCUAUGAAAACUCUGGAGGCAACGACUACAUCUUCUGGUACAAACAGGAUGGGCAGGUGGCACCAAAGUUAAUCCUGAGCCUCUUCAUGAAGAGUCAGGGCAAGACUGAGAGCAGCUUUGAAAAGAGGUUCAGCUGCAGCAUCAAUGACACCGCCAAGCGAGCUCCUCUGAAGAUCCAAGACGUGCAGCUGAGCGACUCUGCUGUCUUCUACUGCGCCAUUCAGCCCACAAUGACUGACAUCUCUGCUGCACCUGCACAAAAACCUCUGUAGGCUCCUCAUCCCACUGUGGCUGUUUGAGAGCUGGUUCUGAGGAUGUUUUCACAGCUUUGGUCGUUGUCAGGACAUCACAGGGGUGGCGACCUGGAGAUGUUUUUUUAUCCUCACCAGACUCCAAAAGUUUGCUGGGUUUAACCAAUGAUUUGUACAGCAGUCCCUCAAAGAUUUCGCGAUGUUGCCAAUUCACACAAAUUCAACCAGUAUGCGUGCCCCUUAACUUUGUCCAAUCCCCCCAGUUUUGCCGCACAAUUUGGCCAAUCAUUACAUUACGAUAGCACAUAUACAUAAGCAUGAAAACACUUCUACAGACAUCACAUGUGGGAUGGUUCAAUAAAUAGGAAAUGUUUCAGUUAAACUGUGAAACUUACAGACAAUAAAUGAUAAAUGAAGAAUAUUUUCGAGCAAAAACGCUAGGGACACUUAUUCCAGGUUUAUGUCAUUCAAAACAGGAAGUACAUUUUUAACCUGCAAUACCUGCAGUGAGCAAACUUGUCCAACAGAUGGAACCAUAGCACGAUUAUAAUUUAUGCUGUCUAUUUUCCAGGUGAGAGGCAGGAUUUAUGAUCUACAAUAAACUUACAGGGAGCAGGGAAGCGAGGAAACAGCAGACCACUCGAUGAUGUAAACAUAGGGACACAAGGAAGUGAUCACAACGCCACUAUAAAUAGUGUGUCUGCUUUCCAAUCAUAAUAACAAUAUCACUAAUACUUCAAGCCACAAAUAGUACUUUGAGUAUUGUUGACACUUUUUAAAUGGUUAUUUAUCCAAUUAUAUGGGCGUCGUAAUGGAGAUCCUACUGGCUCCGCUGUGAGUUGACUUUUAUUUACAUAUAUUUUAUAUUUGGACUGCAUUUAAAAAAAAAACAUCCUUCAUCUUUCAUAAUGAUUGUGCACAAAAAAAUAAAACGAAAAAAGCAGUGUCCCUUUAAGACACAAUUACACAUAGUAUCUAAUAAAGUCAAACAUGUUGAUUAACGGUCCAGUAGAAUUAGGUGUUGUCUUUGUGUUGGAGUGUAACCUUUACUCACACCCAUCAUUUUAAAUAGAGCUUGUGCUGCUUUUUCACUCUUUUGUGGUGGUGACAUUUUGCUACCUGGAAGGCAAUGACAAAACAUUUUAGCUAAUGUUUACGUAACUUAAUCCUUUUAAAUUUUUUCCACAAAAAAACAAGUGGAGUUUGCAAAAUAUAAUUGCACGUUUGUAACAUGACAAUAAAAUUAUUCUAAUUAGGAACACUUCCACAAAGUCAGCAAUUACAUUAUGUACGAGUGACCAUGCCAGGAUUAAGAUGACCAAACUCAAAAGACAUGGUUUGUAAAUAUGAAAAUAGAAAAACGACAAGACAUUAUGAAGAUGCAAUAUUCAUGGCAAUGUUCCCAACAGAACGUUCCAGACCGUCUGCUUAGUGUCGCCCUCACAGCCUGCUCUCCUUUGUUUCUCUCCCCCUGCUGUGAGGUAAGGGGCCUGUCAGUCACAUGACGAUGUGUUGCGCUUUUAAAACAAAAGCAUUUAUACCUCGGCUGUAUAUUUUUUGGGAGGGACAAAUGCGUCUUUCUCCAAUAAUGAACUAUUGAAGAGGCACGUCCCACCAGUUACUACACCUAUGUAUGUGAUGUGUUUGUGAAGCACCUUCCUCUUUGGGAUUAAGCCCCGCCUCCUCAGCCACCAAGUCAACAUGCACAACGCUAUGAGUGCAAACAUGAAGCGUGCAUUGGUGUGUGUGCUGAUGGCUGCUUGGAGUCUUGGAUGUGGCAGCCAGACGGUGCACCAGCCAGCAGAGAAUGUGUACGCCAUGAAAGGCGACUCAGUGACACUGGACUGCAGCUAUGAAAACUCUGGAGGCAACGACUACAUCUUCUGGUACAAACAGGACGGGCAGGCGGCA